rnacentral:misc_RNA from 1 species
AGUGCAAAGCGACAUGAGCAACGUUUAUGCCAUCCUGUUGUUGCUCUUUCUUUCAAUUUCGUCGUUGCUAUUAGCAUUAUUUUCAUGAACAAAUGGGUGCUUCAAGGAGUUGGAUUCCACUUCCCCAUAUGCCUCAGUUUUAUUCACUACUCAAUAAGCUGGGCUCUGAUGGCCAUUUUAAAAGCCCUUUCUAUUCUUCCUGCAUCCCCUCCUUCAAAAUCGAGUCAUUUAUCCUUGUUUACUCUUGGCUUUGUUAUGUCUCUGUCUACUGGCCUAGCUAAUGUCAGCUUAAAGUACAACAGUGUGGGUUUCUACCAGAUGGCUAAGAUUGCUGUUACGCCCUCAAUUGUUUUGCUGGAAUUUAUAUGGUUUAGAAUGCGUGUUUCUUUCUCCAAGGUGGUAGCACUUACAGUUGUGUCAGUUGGUGUUGCUGUGGCUACAGUAACUGAUUUGCAAUUCAGCCUUUUUGGUGCAUGUGUAGCAUUGGCGUGGAUAAUUCCCAGUGCAAUAAACAAGAUCCUUUGGUCCACUCUGCAACAGCGAGAGAACUGGACAGCGCUGGCGUUAAUGUGGAAGACAACCCCAAUUACUUUGGUUUUUCUGGCUUCUUUGAUUCCUUUCUUGGAUCCUCCAGGUGUGUUCACCUAUCACUGGAAUACCAUCAACACAUUGCUAAUCCUUGGAUCAGCUUUUCUAGGCUUCUUGCUUCAGUGGUCAGGCGC